CCCUGCGGGUUGGGGCCGGAGAGGAAGCUCAAGGACUCUGAAAUCGGCAGGGAGACGGGUCACCCGGCUCCUGCCGCUCCUCACACCCGUUGCUCUGUCUUCCAGGUGGUCUUCAGCAAGUACUGCAACUCCAGCGACAUCAUGGACCUCUUCUGCAUCGCCACCGGCCUGCCUCGGAACACGACCAUCUCUCUGCUGACCACAGACGAUGCCAUGGUCUCCAUCGACCCCACCAUGCCCGCAAAUUCCGAACGCACUCCCUACAAAGUGAGGCCUGUGGCCAUCAAGCAGCUCUCUG